rnacentral:lncRNA from 1 species
UAACCAAAAAAAAUAUCUUUAAUUAUUUGUUCACAAAUGUAACGUUCAAUACUUUAUUCAUUUAAGUUCGUUACAAUAUCCAUCACGUUCGAAUUAUGAAAAGAUACGAGCAAAUCAGUAUAACAAAUAGAGGUAAAAAAAUUUCACUAGCAGCCAAUCAGUAUAAUAAACAGUAGUCAGAAAAGGACAGAGCAAGCACAACUCCAUUUCUUCCACACUUCCUCGCCCAAUCUUCGCAGCCAUAGCACUCUAACUAGCUAACAAAUCCAACACCCUCUCCCCAAAAACUUCAAGAAAAGCUAAUGAUCUCUUGCGUGUUAUCAAUGAACCAUACUCUAUAGAGUUGCAUAUCUGCAAAAUUUUUCCAAAUUAUUCUCAAAUUAAAUCACCCCACGUUCUCAGAGAACUCAUAGAGUCACAUCCUACUCCCUUGUAGGAUCAAAUUAAGGGAUUCAACUCAGAGCAAAGAAGUUCGAGAAUCAAAGUUACAAAUCAAGAACAAAUCAAUCAAAGCAUAUAAUCAAGAACCAUAAAAAAGAUUAGCGGAAAAGGCAUUAAUCAAAUAAAAUCAAGACAAUAAAUAAAUAAAUAUAUAGAAACUCACCAGAUUAAAGAGUGCCCAAGAUGCAAAUUGAGAAAAGGUGGGUUUUCAAGUUGAAAGUCAAUGCAUAUAUAUCAUCAUAUCUCACCAUGGACGUCUAUUCUCAAUGACCAAGAGUUGCAGCAGUUUUGCCAAAUGUGAGAAUUUAAUUCUAUGAAAAAAUCACCGCUGAACAGGGAUUACACGACAAUUACCCAUAAGUUCGAUUUGAAUCCAUAAAUUCAAUCAAUUACGAACCACCUACGAAUGUACCUUGAACUACAAAGUCUGUGCUUCGAACUUGAUGCAUAUCAGUAGUCAUAAUUAAGUGCAAAAGCAAACUGGGGCCUUACUAGAGAUAAAAGCGUGGGGCUCAAAUUAUAUUACACAACCCAAAAAUGGUUGAAUGUUCCGAAAAUCGACAAUCAAGCCCUAAUAACUCUCAUGAUCAAUUUUUAAUCCAGAAAAAUCAAAAUUCAAUUAACCAAUGCAGGCUAACCCAAAAACGUAUGACAAAUACUAAAACCCGAAAAUUUGGCCUCAGAAAACAAUAGUACUUGAAAACCAUAAAGCUAAUUUAGAUUACAAACCUGUUCGGAAUGGAGAAAUCGUCGACAUUCAUCAAGAAAAGUAAAAAUAAAAAACCACAUAUAAACAAGAUGAAACCACAAAAAAACUAAAUGAAUCGUACAAAAAAUUACCUUCUUCAGGCUGCAGCUACGAUUUUCAUCUAUCGAACCAGUACAUGUUUUCGAGCAGGAACAUAAUAGGAAUAAUGAAGAUAAUUAGUUGUAUAUAUGAGUUAAUGUUUGAAAGAAAAUCAAGAAGACAACAAAUUUAACGAAAAAUACAAAGCCAUGAGAUGCAUGUAUCAAAUCAAUAUACAUUCGAUUAAACAAAGAUGAAAAACCACUUAAUUACAACACAUUCGAAAUAAAAAAGAACCAAAAUUAUGUUCACCCAUAAAUCCGGUACCAACUCACCGGCGAUGUAAACGCAAAAUUAAGACUCUGUUAAAUCGUCGCCACCGUCUUCUCUUCCGCGAACAGGUUCGUAUGAAAACUAGGUUACAAACGGAAAAUUUGUGAAUACGGCCUCCCAUUGAAUACCUCCCUCGUUCCUGCAAUCCAUUGAAAACUAGGAUUAAUUGCUGUUUCAAUACACUAAAAAAUAAGAAAAAUAAUUACUCCCUCGUCUAUAUUGAUCCAUGGCUUAAUUCGUUGAAGAUGAGAAGAUAGUGAAAUCAAAAAAGUCGUAUAGCAAUUUGAGCAAUAGCGAAUAAGAAAUUCGUUGAAAUCUCAAUAUUAUCGGCAUCAAUAAGGUCUGGCAGAAAAUCAGGGAUUCGAUGCUAGUUACCAUAAACUGAACGAACAGAAAUUGACAACUACACCCUUUUCGAAUUAAUAAAUAAUUUCCAGCAGAAUUUUAAUUACUCAAAUCCAACUAAGCUAUUA